rnacentral:rRNA from 1 species
UAAAAAUGUAAAUUAUAUAAAUUAAGUUACUAAUAGUUAUGUUCUUUAAAUUUAAAAAAUUUGGCGGUAUUUUAGUCUAUUCAGAGGAACCUGUUCUGUAAUUGAUAAUCCACGAUUAGAUUUACUUAUUUUAGAAGUUUGUAUAUCGUUGUUUAAAUAAUUUUAUAAGAAAAAAAAUUAUUAAUAAAUUAAAUUAAAUUUAUAAUCAAAUCAAGGUGCAGUUUAUAGAUAAGAAGAAAUGGGUUACAAUAAAUUUUAUUUAAAUGGAUUUAAUUUUUAAAUGUGUUAAUGAAGGUGGAUUUGAUAGUAAAUUUAUAUUUAUAUAUUUAUAUAUUGAUUUAAGCUCUAAAAUAUGU